rnacentral:rRNA from 1 species
GACGAACGCUGGCGGCGUGCUUAACACAUGCAAGUCGAACGGAAAGGCCCUGCUUGCAGGGUGCUCGAGUGGCGAACGGGUGAGUAACACGUGGGUGAUCUGCCCCUUACUUUGGGAUAAGCCUGGGAAACUGGGUCUAAUACUGGAUAGGACCAUGCUGUAGGUGGUGUGGUGGAAAGAUUAGUUUCGGUAAGGGAUGAGCUCGCGGCCUAUCAACUUGUUGGUGGGGUAAUGGCCUACCAAGGCGUCGACGGGUAGCCGGCCUGAGAGGGUGGACGGCCACAUUGGGACUGAGAUACGGCCCAGACUCCUACGGGAGGCAGCAGUGGGGAAUAUUGCACAAUGGGCGCAAGCCUGAUGCAGCGACGCCGCGUGGGGGAUGACGGCCUUCGGGUUGUAAACUCCUUUCAGCCAUGACGAAGCCCUUGUGGUGACGGUAGUGGUAGAAGAAGCACCGGCUAACUACGUG